AGAAUUGCGAUGAGAAAGAGAGUAAAUGAUUAAUUGUCUUAAGAGAAAACUUCCUAGGCUGAAAGAAGUUUGUCAAUCAAUCAUUGAAAUGCACUUUUGAGCAUUGGGCUGAAAUAUAAGUAGGUUUCAACGGAUCCCCCGUUAUCGGAAUAAAAGUGAGGAUGUAUUAUUUAUACAUUCUAAACAGAGUGGAACCACGGAUAUACCGCCUCUGUG
rnacentral:ncRNA from 1 species